GACGUAGGGAAACGACCGUUCCAACUGUUGUCGUUCAGAUUUUUCCCGAGUGGAGCACGACUUUACACGAGUUUACACGAGUGAAUAAAGUGAAUCUGAUUGGUCGUUUAUCAAGAGGGCGGGAUUGUUGAGGCGGAGAAGGUGUGCAAGCAUGUUUGACUGUGGCCGGUUUCUCUUAGCAACGGGCCAACGCCAACGACGCUAUCAAGAAGGAACGCGACAUGGAAGAGGCCGCCAGGGUGGAAGAAACUUUCUCUGUAGAAGGCAUACGAACAUAAUGUUUGAGCCCUUGCCUCGUCGCAACGCUAGUACGCCAGCCGAAGACACAGACGUCCAACCCCGUGAACACUGGAACGUAACUCAAUGGUGGAGCUUUCCCAUGACCAAGAGAUGAACGCUAAACUUGAUAGUUUUUUCCUCCUCCUUCCUGCCUGCACUGUGCUAAGAAAGUCAGUAUACAACAAAACAAAGGAUUGCAUUUCACAGAUUUCUUUAUUACAAUUACUGGGAGAAAUGAUGUAUGAAUUGUACAAUACAAUAUAUAAUAAAUAAUAUCAUUUAGUACAAUAAGAUGAUAUCAUGAAUAUGAUGUACAUUUCAAACAUGACAGAUUUGUACAAAUAAACAUCAAUUCAAUCUA